GCCUUUGUUUCUAUGAAGAUCUGUCAGUUUGAUGCAAACAUUUUUACAGAUUCGAAAUAUUUUUUUAUUUCGUCUAUUUUCUUUUUUUCGUCCUCCAAUUUCACAAUCACUUCAUUUAUUUUAAGACAGUAUUCAUUCUCCAUUGCUGAUACGUCAUCAAGUAAUACUCCUUCUAAGUUAUCCAAAACUGUAUUUAUUUCUUGA
rnacentral:lncRNA from 1 species